rnacentral:rRNA from 1 species
AGUGAACGCUGGCGGUAGGCCUAACACAUGCAAGUCGAACGGCAGCACAGUAAGAGCUUGCUCUUACGGGUGGCGAGUGGCGGACGGGUGAGGAAUACAUCGGAAUCUACUUUUUCGUGGGGGAUAACGUAGGGAAACUUACGCUAAUACCGCAUACGACCUACGGGUGAAAGCAGGGGAUCUUCGGACCUUGCGCGAUUGAAUGAGCCGAUGUCGGAUUAGCUAGUUGGCGGGGUAAAGGCCCACCAAGGCGACGAUCCGUAGCUGGUCUGAGAGGAUGAUCAGCCACACUGGAACUGAGACACGGUCCAGACUCCUACGGGAGGCAGCAGUGGGGAAUAUUGGACAAUGGGCGCAAGCCUGAUCCAGCCAUACCGCGUGGGUGAAGAAGGCCUUCGGGUUGUAAAGCCCUUUUGUUGGGAAAGAAAAGCAGCAGGUUAAUACCCCGCUGCUCUGACGGUACCCAAAGAGUAAGCACCGGCUAACUUCGUG